AUGAUGAUGUCACUGACUCCACUGCUGACCAUCCUGGGCUCCUGGUUCAGGGUUCAUCAGGAGACAUCAUCCUGACUAGGACUCCUGGAUCUCAGUCUGUUGCUGCAGGACAAACUGUCACCAUCAGAUGUAAAACCAGUUCAUAUGUUGGUAACAAUCUCCACUGGUACCUUCAGAAACCUGCAGAAGCUCCUAAACUCUUAAUUUAUGAUAGUGCAACUCGUCAGUCUGGAGUUCCAGCUCGUUUCAGUGGAAGUGGAUCUGGUUCUGACUACACUUUGACCAUCAGUGGAGUUCAGGCUGAAGAUACAGGAGUUUAUUACUGUCAGCAGGGUUGGAGCUCACCGUUCACACAGUGA